CGCGUAGGCGGUUUCGUUAGUCAGGCGUGAAAUUCCUGGGCUUAACCUGGGGACUGCGCUUGAUACAGCGAGACUCGAGGUCAGAAGAGGGUCGUGGAAUUCCCAGUGUAGAGGUGAAAUUCGUAGAUAUUGGGAAGAACACCGGUGGCGAAGGCGGCGACCUGGUCUGAUACUGACGCUGAGGCGCGAUAGCGUGGGGAGCAAACA
rnacentral:rRNA from 1 species